GAUGCCUGGGAAAGGAGAUAAAGCUGGCUUUAUGACAUUCCUUCAGCAAGUGAAUAGAAUCCCUGAGGUCUCAACAGGUAUUGGGGGAAGAAAAUUUCCUCUAGACCAAGAUCAUUGUUUCCAAAAAUGUGGGUGCAACUUGCCUCCAUAAGCAACUGUAUCUUAGGAACAGAAAUUUUAAUUGACUGAAACCCACUGUGUGAAACUUAGAAUGGAAAUUGGGUUCUCCACCUCCGCAGCACCUUUAUUUUGGGCUAUGAAGCUUUGGAAGGACAGCAGGGAAUACAAACUGGCUAUGGGUUGUCUCCUGUAUUAUUCAUUUAUGUACCCAAAAAAAAAAGGCAGAAGAAGAAAAAAAGAAAAAGAAAAACCUUCCUGGUUCCAAGGGAGUCACACAAAAGACACAUAUCAACAAAAGGCCACAUGAGGACACAGUGAGAAAUUAGAAGUCUGCAACCCAGAAGACAGCCCUCAACAGAACCUAACCAUGCUUAUACCCUGAUCUCAGACAUCCAGCCUCCAGAAGAGUGAAAAGAUGCAAUUCUUAUUUGUAAGCAACUUGGUCUAUGGUAUUUGAUUAUAGCAGCCCAAGCUAAGACAGCUCCCUAUCCCAUUCACCAUGCUGCAGCUACAUGAGCCUCCCUUUUGUUCUUCAAGCUCAUCAAAUCCCUCCUAGCCUUAGAACUUGCUGUUUCCUCUGCCCAGAAUUCUGUUCCAGUUCUUUUCAUCCUGUAAGUCUUGUCCUUUAGAUCUAAAUUCACAUGUGACAUCCCCUGAGAACUGUCCUCUGAGAACUUAUCUCAAAGUCUUCCCAGUUACUCUCUACCUUACCUUCUAGUUUAUAAUCUUCACACCACUUUUCCACAUUUGUAACCAUUUGCUUUUCUAUAUGUGUGAUAUGGUUAGGCUUAGUGUACCUACCCAAAUCUCAUGUUAAAUUUUAAUCCCCAGGGA